AAAGACGCUGGCGCUUCUGCUUCCCCUCCCCGCUCGGGAGCCCCCUAACGGCACAGGAAGCCCAGAAGGGGGCUGCCCGGUCCGCGGAGACCGACGGAGGAGAGGCUGGGAGCCUUCCCCUGGCCCGCGCUGGCGUUAGAGGCAAACCCCGCGUUUUUAGCGCCUUUGCAAAUGUUUCCGUUUGAUGGAUAACCAGCCGCUGGGACUGCGCCUGGGAGCUGCGCAGGAGAGAAAGAACUUUCAAGAACCAGCAAAGUAAACAUGUCAAAACUCCAAAUUCUAAAGAGCUAGCCCAUCUGGGCAGAGCAACAAGAUUACAAUCAAGAAUGAUGCAGAGAAGGGCAACUGUCCUGGUGUAAUGAGCUGCUAAGCCUGAAAAAUGAAGAUCUAUGCUGGAAAGCCUGGCAGACCCUAAAAUGCAGCAUUGCAAGGCAU